GCGUCCUGCUCGUGAUCGUCUUCUCACCUUUCACGUGCGGGCGGAAGAACGAAGGGCCCCGGCGAGGACAUGACUCGCCGGGGCCCUUC
rnacentral:ncRNA from 1 species